rnacentral:rRNA from 1 species
AGAUUAAGUUAUUAAGGGCGCACGGUGGAUGCCUUGGCACUAGAAGCCGAUGAAGGACGUUACUAACGACGAUAUGCUUUGGGGAGCUGUAAGUAAGCUUUGAUCCAGAGAUUUCCGAAUGGGGAAACCCAGCAUGAGUUAUGUCAUGUUAUCGAUAUGUGAAUACAUAGCAUAUCAGAAGGCACACCCGGAGAACUGAAACAUCUUAGUACCCGGAGGAAGAGAAAGAAAAUUCGAUUCCCUUAGUAGCGGCGAGCGAAACGGGAAGAGCCCAAACCAACAAGCUUGCUUGUUGGGGUUGUAGGACACUCUGUACGGAGUUACAAAGGACGACAUUAGACGAAUCAUCUGGAAAGAUGAAUCAAAGAAGGUAAUAAUCCUGUAGUCGAAAAUGUUGUCUCUCUUGAGUGGAUCCUGAGUACGACGGAGCACGUGAAAUUCCGUCGGAAUCUGGGAGGACCAUCUCCUAAGGCUAAAUACUCUCUAGUGACCGAUAGUGAACCAGUACCGUGAGGGAAAGGUGAAAAGCACCCCGGAAGGGGAGUGAAAUAGAACCUGAAACCGUGUGCUUACAAGUAGUCAGAGCCCGUUAAUGGGUGAUGGCGUGCCUUUUGUAGAAUGAACCGGCGAGUUACGAUUUGAUGCAAGGUUAAGCAGUAAAUGUGGAGCCGUAGCGAAAGCGAGUCUGAAUAGGGCGUUUAGUAUUUGGUCGUAGACCCGAAACCAGGUGAUCUACCCUUGGUCAGGUUGAAGUUCAGGUAACACUGAAUGGAGGACCGAACCGACUUACGUUGAAAAGUGAGCGGAUGAACUGAGGGUAGCGGAGAAAUUCCAAUCGAACCUGGAGAUAGCUGGUUCUCUCCGAAAUAGCUUUAGGGCUAGCCUCAAGUGAUGAUUAUUGGAGGUAGAGCACUGUUUGGACGAGGGGCCCCUCUCGGGUUACCGAAUUCAGACAAACUCCGAAUGCCAAUUAAUUUAACUUGGGAGUCAGAACAUGGGUGAUAAGGUCCGUGUUCGAAAGGGAAACAGCCCAGACCACCAGCUAAGGUCCGAAAAUAUAUGUUAAGUGGAAAAGGAUGUGGCGUUGCCCAGACAACUAGGAUGUUGGCUUAGAAGCAGCCAUCAUUUAAAGAGUGCGUAAUAGCUCACUAGUCGAGUGACACUGCGCCGAAAAUGUACCGGGGCUAAACAUAUUACCGAAGCUGUGGAUUGUCCUUUGGACAAUGGUAGGAGAGCGUUCUAAGGGCGUUGAAGCAUGAUCGUAAGGACAUGUGGAGCGCUUAGAAGUGAGAAUGCCGGUGUGAGUAGCGAAAGACGGGUGAGAAUCCCGUCCACCGAUUGACUAAGGUUUCCAGAGGAAGGCUCGUCCGCUCUGGGUUAGUCGGGUCCUAAGCUGAGGCCGACAGGCGUAGGCGAUGGAUAACAGGUUGAUAUUCCUGUACCACCUAUAAUCGUUUUAAUCGAUGGGGGGACGCAGUAGGAUAGGCGAAGCGUGCGAUUGGAUUGCACGUCUAAGCAGUAAGGCUGAGUAUUAGGCAAAUCCGGUACUCGUUAAGGCUGAGCUGUGAUGGGGAGAAGACAUUG